rnacentral:lncRNA from 1 species
UCACAUCUCAUACAAUCAUCUCUCUCACUACAACUUUCUCUCACUAGAAAUGAAAAGAAAAAUACUCUUUAGAUUUUUCUUCUUUAAAGUAAGUGUCUCGAGAGUAUAUCGUAGUAGGUAGUUCGUAGAUUCUGUUUCGGGUGUUGCGAAACAUGUAUCCUGGGAUUCAAAAAUCGCAUAAAACCGUCACACAUUACGGGCGAUUUAUUGAGUUAAGGAAAGAGAUCAAAUCUCGACUCCGUGAAUUCGUCUAUUUCCUUACGAUUUCUUAAACGUUGCAAGUCUUUAUAUUAUCGUUUAUAUGCUUCUUGUUUCGUAAUUUUCAAUCAGGAUUUUUGCGGUCCUACAAUCUUAACUCAAUAAAUCCGCUUUUUUUUUUGCUUAUCGCUUGAAUCGGAUUGAAUAUUGCGAACAAUAUUUUAAAAAAAAUGAUUUUGUAAAACGGCUUUACAAAAUAUUUUUAAAUCGAACUGAAACGGUUCUAAGAAUGCUCUUUAGCUAUUCUUUAGAACGUUUUGGAAUAAAAAGACGAAUCAUAUUUAGGAAAUGAUUUACGCGACAUUCUCUGAAAGGCUCGCGAUCUCAUUUUUCUAAAGAAAAAUAGCGUUUAAGAAGGCCUAUUGGCGAAUUCUUAAAAAUGACUAUUAAAAGUUCAAGAACGCCUUUUUAGCGAUUCUGAGAACGGCUUUUAAAAAGUUCAAGAACGUAUUUAGCGAUUCCAAGAACGAUUAUUAUCGUUUAAGAACGCUUUACACGACUUCUGAGAACACUUAUUUGAAUUGAGUUCUCAAUAAUUACUACCAUUUGUAUUUUGUGAACAUAUUCAAUAGUGACUAUUGAUGUCAAUGACUUCGAGUCAAUAAAUGGGUUACUAAGUUUAAACUCAUGAGAUAAGUUUUGUAAAAUAUGGAUAAAUCUUAAAAGAUUGAGUUCAAUAUAUUUUUGAAUAAAUUUUUGUAGAUUAAAUUCAUAAUAUUUUUGGAUAAAUCUAAAUUUAAUGAUUGAGUCCAAAUAACUAUAAUGGAUAAAUCCAAAUAUAAAGAUUGUGUCCAUAUAGAUAAAGAUUGUGUCUAAAUAAUUAUAAAAUAUGUAUUUUUUUUUGAAUAAAUCAAAUCUAUAUUUAGAUUGUGUUCAAAUAUUUUCUUUUGAAUAAAUCUAAAUUUAAAGAUGAAAGAUUGUGUUCAAAUAAUCAUGAAAUAUUUUAUUAUACGAAUAUAACCAGUGAGACGACAAACCUAUUGGGAAUGGUCAUCCACUUGGAUUGUUUUCAUGUGAAGAUUUGUCUAUGCCUAGUAAAACCACUAUAUAAGUCUAUAGUGAGUUGAAUACUUUCAUGGAACUUUGAGUUUCCUUAUGGACAAAUCAAGGCAUAGACGUACGCUCAAAGAAUGACAAAAUUUCUUUUGAUGAACUGUAUGUUUAUCAUAUAUUAGUCAAAGAGCUGUGAUUCUUUAUGCAUGAGAGAACGACUGCAUGUAUAUCAAUUAAUUUGAUAUACUAGGUCUAUAGAUAAAUUGAUUUUCAGUAAAAUCUAUCUCUCACAAGCAAAGGCUACGAGCCAUAAAAAUUGACUUUCAAGUAAGUCAAAUAUGCAAAUCACAAAACAUAUGAUAUUCACAAUUGUGAACAUAAAACGAAAGUGAUUGAGCAAAAGAACUAAGAAAGCCUUAUGUUCAAAAAGCUGACACACAUCGUAGCAAGGCUGGCGAAUGUUGUAGCAAUAUUGGUUUAUAUAGAGAUAAUGUGAAAUCUCAAACCAAUUUGAUAAAAACUAAAACACGAAGUGUAGUUUUGGGUCAAUGUUCCAUAACAUAGUGAAGUUGCGGAACAAAAGUUCUAUACUCUUAAAGGAUGAAUGCAAGCAUGCAUGAUCCUGAAUUAACUCAGGAAAUGUGGGGGGAGUGUUGCUUACCACAUUCAAACAUUGGCAAAAAGCUAUGUACUUUGAAAAGGUUAUGUAAAUUCAUACAAAUACUUCAAAGUGUGGGGGUGCUUAGCAAACGUCGUUGUACUAACUCCAAAAAUGUGGGGGUGCUUAGCAAAAGUCAUAGUACUACCUCCUAAAAAUAUUCCAUUGUCGGAGAAACUAUUUCAGCUCUACGCUUAGUCAAUCGACUAUAGCUCGGGAACUGGAUAUUCUCUAUAAUGGUAAGUCGCAUCGCAUAAGACGACAUAAAACCAUUAGAAACUGUGAUCUCAAAACGUCAGCUGACAACCUUAUGGAUUAUUUACCAAAGGUUUAACAUGAGAUUAAGUAUUAAAAUCAUUGACGGAAAUGGGUUUAUUGCCUAUUAUUAAAGGAUGUUUGAUGGAAACCCUACUAACGUGACUGGAGAUCCCAAGAAGUUGGUUCAAAGGGACAACUAAAUCAAACAAAAUCCGAUAAAAGCACUGAAACCUACCCAUAUCCCAAGAUGAUAAUAGUGCUCCUGUAAGGAUAAGGUUAAGCUUUGGCUUUUAAUGAGAUAAGACCAUGACCUUCAUAUACAUGUAUAUAAAGUAUUACAGGGUACUUUAUUGUGUAUAUGGUAGAUGCACAUGGCAAUCACCUAGUGAGUGUGAAAUGGGGCCGUUUCUAGGUGAAUGAAGUUCAGGCUAUACUCUCCAAGUUCACUCAUGACUAACCAGGCAAGUUCACGGCCAAAAAUGAACACAAUAGAGAACUUAACUCUACGAGAAAACGCAGCUGUGUUAUAUCUGUUGACUCGGUUUACAUAAACUUUAGGGGGGUUCAAGACAUCAUGUUCACCACCUGAAAAGUAAAUCCGACAGAUAUUAACAAUGAGUAGUUCAAAGCUGGAAAACGCUACUACAUCAUAUACAGUUAGUUUUUUUGCUUAUACUCUCGAAAAGUCCGUCUGUCUAGUCUAGGUCAAGUUGUAGAGUCAGUCUUAGUAUAUCUAGCCUAAUUUUUUUAAGAGUAAUUUCUAUUCAUGUGGGGGAUUGUUGGACCAAUUAUUAUAAGCUUAACUGGGCUGAGUAAUAAUUGGAUAUGUGAAUAGAAAAAUUUUAUAAGCCCAAUGGCUGAGUAAAAUUAUAUUGUUAUGUGAAGAGAUAUGGAGAUUUUGGACUCACUUUGCAAGCUAAAUGAGCUGAGCAAAUUGAUUCAUUUGUUGGUUUUGGACCAUGAUGAAAAAGGCUUAAGCCUUAAGAGAAAAAACUUGGCAACCAAGUUAGCAAACUUGACAACCAAGCUAAGCCACCUUGGUGACCAAGUCAAGUCAACUUGGUGGCCAAGUCAAACCAACUUGGUUACCAAGUUUAAAUUGCUUGGUGACCAAGCUAAAUUCUCUUAUAAAUACCCAUGCUCUCUCCAUAAUCUCAAAAUCUCAAUAUAUCUCACAUCUCAUACAAUCAUCUCUCUCACUACCACUUUCUCUCACUAGAAAUGAAAAAAAAAAUAUUCUUUAGAUUUUUCUUCUUUAAAGUAAGUGUCUCGAGAGUAUAUCGUAGUAGUUAGUUCGUAGAUUUUGUUUCGGGUGUUGCGAAACAGUCUCAUCACGGUUGUAUCCUGGGAUUCAAAAAUCGCAUAAAACCGUCACACAUUACGGGCGAUUUAUUGAGUUAAGGAAAGAGAUCAAAUCUCGACUCCGUGAAUUCGUCUAUUUCCUUAUGAUAUCUUAAACGUUGCAAGUCUUUAUAUUAUCGUUUAUAUGCUUCUUGUUUCGUAAUUUUCAAUCAGGAUUUUCGCGGUCCUACAGAAAUGAUUAAUUAAAUUGGUAUACAAUUUAGUGGAUGGAUUUUAGGGUUACUUUUUUUUUGCUAAAUAAAAAGGAUUAAAUCCGGUUCUAUUAAAGAUAUAAGCAUAAUCCUCGUGUGGGAGGGGCAUCCCACAGAUAGACCUUCGAUCUCAUGGUUAUUCAAAAUAGAUCGAAAAACAAUAGUCCAUAUCCGUGUAAAUGACCUGGAAAAUGUGACUUAAUUUCGCAUGGUAGAUGGAUUGAAUCUAAAAUGUGGUGACAUCUCAAGUUCUUCUUGCCACUCGACUACAAGCUCCCCGUCUUUAGGGUUUACUUGACGUAUAUUUAUUUGUUUAAAAAUGCAGUAAUUGCAUUUCUAUACCAAAAAAGGUUGCAAAUUUUUAUAAGAUAUCACGUGAUGAGGUUGCUAAAGAGUUGCAUGCAAUCAGAUGUAAAUUACGUAUCGCGCAUGCAUGAGAUCGAAAAUAGAGUUAUACGGGCUCACUUGCAUUGGGCUUGGUUUUUGGGUUAAUCAAUAAAUAACACGAGUGCAUUUUGGUAAUAUUCCCAAAUUUAAAAAUUCAGAAAGAAACUUGGAGGAGAUUACUAUAGAUGAAGAGAAUGGAAAUGGGUAAGAAGGAAGAGAUUAAGAAAGGGCCAUGGAAAGCUGAAGAGGAAGAAGUAAAAUAGACACUGAGAUUUUGAGAGCUCCAAACAAUUUAGUAAUUUUAGUUUAAUAAUUUAGGAGAUGUAUGUUCAUGUAUAUUAACUCCAAAAUGUUUGAGAACAUAAGACUAAUUAAUGUUUCAUUUUGCUAUGCACAUGACCUAUUGGCGAGAAUCUCUACGCACAUGAAGAGCUGGUAACGAUGUGAAGAAUUUCUGGAGCAAUAAGGCAGCAAUUAGAUUGAAUUUUUGGAAUUGAAUGAUGUGAAAUACC